rnacentral:rRNA from 1 species
UACGUAGGGUGCAAGCGUUGUCCGGAAUUAUUGAGCGUAAAGAGCUCGUAGGCGGUCUGUCGCGUCUGCUGUGAAAACUCAGGGCUUAACCCUGAGCUUGCAGUGGGUACGGGCAGACUAGAGUGCGGUAGGGGAGACUGGAAUUCCUGGUGUAGCGGUGAAAUGCGCAGAUAUCAGGAGGAACACCGGUGGCGAAGGCGGGUCUCUGGGCCGUAACUGACGCUGGAGGAGCGAAAGCAUGGGGAGCGAACAGG